rnacentral:rRNA from 1 species
CGAGUUUGAUCAUGGCUCAGAACGAACGCUGGCGGCAUGCCUAACACAUGCAAGUCGAACGAAGGCUUCGGCCUUAGUGGCGCACGGGUGCGUAACGCGUGGGAACCUGCCCCUCGGUUCGGAAUAACAGUUAGAAAUGACUGCUAAUACCGGAUGAUGACUUCGGUCCAAAGAUUUAUCGCCGAGGGAUGGGCCCGCGUAGGAUUAGCUAGUUGGUGGGGUAAAGGCCUACCAAGGCGACGAUCCUUAGCUGGUCUGAGAGGAUGAUCAGCCACACUGGGACUGAGACACGGCCCAGACUCCUACGGGAGGCAGCAGUGGGGAAUAUUGGACAAUGGGCGAAAGCCUGAUCCAGCAAUGCCGCGUGAGUGAUGAAGGCCUUAGGGUUGUAAAGCUCUUUUACCAGGGAUGAUAAUGACAGUACCUGGAGAAUAAGCUCCGGCUAACUCCGUG